rnacentral:rRNA from 1 species
ACGUACACUCCUGCGGGAGGCAGCAGUGAGGAAUAUUGGACAAUGGGUGGAAGCCUGAUCCAGCCAUCCCGCGUGCAGGAAGACGGCCCUAUGGGUUGUAAACCGCUUUUAUCUGGGGAUAAACCUACUUACGUGUAAGUAGCUGAAGGUACCAGAAGAAUAAGCACCGGCUAACUCCGUGCCAGCAGCCGCGGUAAUACGGAGGGUGCAAGCGUUAUCCGGAUUUAGUGGGUUUAAAGGGUCCGUAGGCGGACUGAUAAGUCAGUGGUGAAAUCCGACAGCUUAACUGUCGAACUGCCAUUGAUACUGUUAGUCUUGAGUAAGGUUGAAGUGGCUGGGAUAAGUAGUGUAGCGGUGAAAUGCAUAGAUAUUACUUAGAACACCAAUUGCGAAGGCAGGUCACUAAGUCUUAACUGACGCUGAUGGACGAAAGCGUGGGGAGCGAACAGGAUUAGAAACCCUUGUAGUCCCAU